GAUGAACGCUGGCGGCGUGCUUAACACAUGCAAGUCGAACGAAGCGAUGGAGAACGGAGAUUUCGGUUGAAGUUUUCUAUUGACUGAGUGGCGGACGGGUGAGUAACGCGUGGGUAACCUGCCCUAUACAGGGGGAUAACAGUUAGAAAUGACUGCUAAUACCGCAUAAGCGCACAGCUUCGCAUGAAGCGGUGUGAAAAACUGAGGUGGUAUAGGAUGGACCCGCGUUGGAUUAGCUAGUUGGUGAGGUAACGGCCCACCAAGGCGACGAUCCAUAGCCGGCCUGAGAGGGUGAACGGCCACAUUGGGACUGAGACACGGCCCAAACUCCUACGGGAGGCAGCAGUGGGGAAUAUUGCACAAUGGGGGAAACCCUGAUGCAGCGACGCCGCGUGAAGGAAGAAGUAUCUCGGUAUGUAAACUUCUAUCAGCAGGGAAGAAAGUGACGGUACCUGACUAAGAAGCCCCGGCUAAUUACGUGCCAGCAGCCGCGGUAAUACGUAAGGGGCAAGCGUUAUCCGGAUUUACUGGGUGUAAAGGGAGCGUAGACGGUUUGGCAAGUCUGAUGUGAAAGGCAUAGGCUCAACCUGUGGACUGCAUUGGAAACUGUCAGACUUGAGUGCCGGAGAGGCAAGCGGAAUUCCUAGUGUAGCGGUGAAAUGCGUAGAUAUUAGGAGGAACACCAGUGGCGAAGGCGGC
rnacentral:rRNA from 1 species